UACGUAGGGGGCAAGCGUUGUCCGGAUUUAUUGGGCGUAAAGAGCGUGUAGGCGGCCAUUCAGGUCAGCUGUGAAAACUCGAGGCUCAACCUCGAGACGUCGGUUGAAACCGUUUGGCUAGAGUCCGGAAGAGGAGAGUGGAAUUCCCGGUGUAGCGGUGAAAUGCGCAGAUAUCGGGAAGAACACCGGUGGCGAAAGCGACUCUCUGGACGGCAACUGACGCUGAGGCACGAAAGCGUGGGGAGCAAACAGG
rnacentral:rRNA from 1 species